GACGAACGCUGGCGGCGGGCUUAACACAUGCAAGUCGAACGGAAAGGCCCUGCUUUCGUGGGGUUCUCGAGUGGCGAACGGGUGAGUAACACGUGAGUAUCCUGCCCUUGACUUUCGGAUAACUUCAGGAAACUGGGGCUAAUACCGGAUAGGAGCUCCUGCUGCAUGGUGGGCGUUGGAAAGUUUCGGCUGUUGGGGAUGGACUCGCGGCUUAUCAGCUUGUUGGUUGGGGAGUGGCUUACCAAGGCUUUGAAGGGUAGCCGGCCUGAGAGGGUGACCGGCCACAUUGGGACUGAGAGACGGCCCAGACUGCUACGGGAGGCAACAGUGGGGAAUAUUGCACAAUGGGCGGAAGCCUGAUGAAGAAACGCCGCGUGCGGGAUGACCGCCUUCGGGGUGUGAACCGCUUUAGCCUGAGACGAAGCGGGAGUGACGGUAAUGAGUGAAGAAGCACCGGCUAACUACGUG
rnacentral:rRNA from 1 species